rnacentral:lncRNA from 1 species
UUGCUAAGUCGAAACUUCAAAAAAUCAUAACUUCCUCAUACGAAGCCAGAUUUAGACGUUCUUUUCACGCAUGCUCUCGGUUUAACGUAUUCUACGACUUUCGUUCAGAUUGCUAAGCCUAAAAAUCUCUCUAUUGUAAAUUCACUAUUUACGUCAUGCAAUAUCGUAUCGGUUCUAUCGCGGAACUUCUACAGGUCAUAACUUCUUCUUUAUAACUCGGAUUUCGGCAUUCUUUAUAUAUCUGGAAUCCUUGUCACGACCACUUCAACUUCCUUCAUGGAUAUUAGGUUUAUCUAAUAUUUUAUUUUAACACUUAUUUUUAUCCUUAAUUCAUUUAAGUCACACAAUUAAGCAUAAAACACAUAAUACUCAAAUAAUACAUUUUUAUUAUUUCAAAACGAGUUACAAAGUUUAACCUAGACUAUUACAUCAUCAUUAAUGCCUAGCCAAGAAACACGGGCAUUAGAAUUCUCUCCCCCUUAGGAUGAUUCCGUCCCCAGAAUCACACAUCAACAAACAAAUGCGGAUAGCGACUCAUCAUGUCACUCUCCGUUUCGUAUAUUUCCAACUGACAAGCACUAAUUCGACCAUCUUACGUCGCUGCUUCUUUGUCUUACGGUCAACGAUUGCCUCUGGUUUUUCAAUUAACCUCUUGUUUUCAUCAAUCCUUAAUUUAGAAAUUGGAAUUAUGUCGGGAACUUCCCCCGUGAACUUCCUCAAAUAACACACAUGGAAAGUGUUAUAAAUACCAUUCAGUUCUUCGGGUAAUUCGAGCUUGUAAGCUUGGUUCCCAAUCCUAUGAAGAACUUUAAACAGUCCUAUAAAUCUUGGACUUAACUUUCCCCUUUUACCAAAUCUUAUAAGUCCCUUCCAUGGUGAGACGGUAAGCAAAAUCGAAUCCCCAACUUCAGAUGUCAUCGGUAUUCGCUUUAUGUCAGCAUAGUUAUUUUAACGAUCUUGAGCCACUAACAUUCUCUCCCUAAUUAUUUUCAGCUUUUCAACAGUCUGAUGGACUAUCUCGGGUCCCAUAAACUGCUUUCCUCAGCCUCAAGCCAACAAGACGGCGUACGACACCUCUGUCCGUACAAAGCUUGAUAAGGUGUCAUCUUAACGCUCGAGUGGAAACUAUUAUUGUAGGAAAAUUCUACCAAAGGUAAAUGUUUAUCCCAGUUACCUUGGAAUUACAGGGUACAUACUCUCAGCAUAUCUUCAAGUGUUUGUAUUGUUUGUUCGCUCUGACCAUCAGUCUGUGGAUGGUAAGCUGUACUCAAACACAAAUUGGUAUCCAAUUCCUCUUGUAGACUCCUCAAAAAUCUUGAGGUGAAACGGCUGUCACGAUCUGAUACAAUCUCUAAUGGAACACUGUGAAGCCUCACAAUUUCCUUCACGUAAGAAUUCACAAGCUUAUCCAUAGACCAUUUCUCAUUGGCUGCUAUGAAGUGCACACUCUCAGUGAAGCGAUCAACGACCACCCAAAUCAUGUUGUGACCGUUCUUUGUUCUGGGCAGUUUAGUGACAAAAUCCAUAGCAAUGUCUUCCCAUUUACCCAUAGGUACAGGUAAAGGUUCUAAACUCCCAUAUGGUUUCUGAUGUUGUGGCUUAACUCUAGCACAUGUCACACACUCUGCCACAUACCUUGUGAUAUCAAGCUUCAUCGUCGGCAACUAGUAGUAAGGUUUUAGGUCCCUAUACAUUUUAGUGCUGCCGGGAUGAAUUGAGUACAUGGUUUUGUGAGCUUCUUCCAUCAGAAGAUAUCUUAUUCCUCCUGACUUAGUCACCCAAAUUCGAUCUUGGAAUACCUUCAGUCGGUGACUGUUUAUACCGAACACUAACGUUUUGCCCAAACGUUCUUCCUUUCGGUCAUUCUUCUCAGAAGCUUCUUCUUGAGCUUUCUUUAUACUCUCCACAAUUGUCGAGACAACUUCUAUUCUCAACGCUCUUGGCCUUUUUCUUUCAAGAUUGACUUUCCGACUGAGAGCAUCAGCAACAACGUUGGCUUUACCAGGGUGGUAAAGUAUCUCACAGUCGUAGUCCUUAAGUAACUCUAGCCAGCGUCUUUGCCUCAUAUUCAAUUCUUUAUGAUUAAAGAGAUAUUGGAUACUCAUAUGAUCAGUGAAAAGUUUGCACUUCGUGCCAUAGAGGUAAUGCCUCCAUAUCUUUAGAGCAAAUACUAUCGCUGCCAACUCUAAAUCAUGAGUGGCUAGUUCUUUUCAUGCUCUUUCAGUUGUCGAGACGCAUAUGCUAUCACCUUUCUCUUUGGGUCAAAACACAACCCAACCCAACCCUAAACUCAUCGCUAUAGACAGCGAAGUCCUUAACUCCGUCGGGUAGAGAAAGAAUCGGUGCUUCACAUAGCUUCUUCUUUAGCAACGUGAAUGCUUCUUUGUGCUUAUCACUCCAAGUAUAAGUAGCUCCUUUGUGGGUCAAAGCUUUCAUUGGAGUAGCGAUCGAAGAAAAGCCUUGGAUAAACCUUCGGUAAUAUCCGGCUAAUCCCAGAAAGCUUCAGAUCUCUGUGGGACUUUUUGGUUGUUCCCACUUCAUCACAUCUUCAAUCUUUGUUGGAUCAAUCAUUAUCCAUUUUUAGUUGACCAUGUGACCCAAGAAUUGGACUUCUCAACUCCAAAAAUCACAUUUGGAGAACUUUGCAUACAACUCUCCUUCUUCAAGACUUCUAACACUUCUCGCAAGUGUCUGCCGUGCUCUUCUUGGCUUUUCGAGUUAAUCAGAAUGUCAUCUAUGAACAUUAUCACAGAUUUAUCGAGGAAAGGUUAACAAGCCCUAUUCAUCAAAUCCAUGAAUGCUGUUGGAGCAUUGAUUAGUCAAAACGACAUAACCAAAAACUCAUAAUGUGCAUAUCGUGUUCUGAAUGCAGUCUUCUUGAUAUCCUGCUCUCUCACCUUCAGCUGAUGAUAUCUUGACCUUAGUUCGAUCUUUGAAAAAUAGCUUGAACCUUGUAGUUGAUCGAACAUGUCAUCAAUCCUUGGCAAUGGAUAUCUAUUAUUUAUCGUUGCCUUAUUCAGCUCUUUGUAAUCAAUGCACAUUCUCAUACUACCGUCCUUUUUCUUUACGAACAACACCAGAUCUCCCCAUGGUGAUGAACUAGGUCUAAUGAAAUCUUUUUCCAAUAAUUCUUGAAGUUGUAUCAUAAGCUCAUUCAUCUCUGUUGGCGCUAGUCGGUAAGGUGCUUUUGCUAUUGACGUCGUUCCUGGUAACAAGUCGAUACAAAAUUCUACUUGUCGAUCAGGCGGUAAUCCAGGAAGAUCUUCAGGAAAUACUUCCGAAUAAUCACACACCAUAGGAAUGCUCUGCAUCUCCUUUUUCUCCUUCUUUGCAUUAAUCACAAAUGCCAAAUAUGAUGUACAUCCUUCGGCCAAACACUUUCUGGCUUUCAUUAGAGAAAUAAUCCUAGAAUUUACUCUGCGUUUUCCCUAUACACCAUAAAUGACUCUUUCCCUGGCGGGUUUACUUUUACUAUCUUCUUCCUGCAUAAUAUUUCAGCAUCGUUGGCACUAAGCGAAAUCAUUCCCAGCACGAUGUCGAAACCAUUUAGCUCAAUAGACAAUAAUUCCUCGUGGAACAUAUUCCCAUUUAAAUCAAUUAAGAUGUUUUUCAUAUGAUGGCUAAUAGGUACAAAUUUGCCACUAGCAACUUCAACUAAUAAAACAUUAUCUAGUCUAUCGACAGGCAAAACUAGUUUUUUACCAAAUUCAUGCGAAAUAAAGGAAUAGUUGGCUCCAUAAUCAAAUAAAAUUUGGGCAGGUAAUUUGUUUACGAGAAAGGUACCUGAAGCGACAUCAGCUUCAUCCUUUGCAGCUUCAAGUGUCGUUUGAAAGGCUCUCGCCUUCGGUUUUGGUGGAAUGUUGGGUUUUGCUGCCUCCUUCUUUUUCGGACAGUCUCUUGAUAUGUGCCCCUCCUCACCGCACCCAUAGCAUACUUUCUUGGUGACGGUGCACUCGUCUGCAUAGUGUCCUGGCUUUCCACAUUUAAAACAUGUGACUUCCCCAUCAUAUUUCCCAUGAUGCUUCUUCUUGCAUUUGUCGCACCAUAUCGCUUCACCUCCUCCUCCUCUCGAACUAGACUUUGAGAAUUUACCCUUUUUGUUGUUAGACCUCGAAGGUCCGUUGAACUUUCUCUUCUCCCCAACAUCUGUCAUCUCCAGACCCUUCUCCCUGAAUCGGGUCUCAACAUUCUUAGCAGCCCAAAUGGCGGCUUUCAAAGUGGUUAUUUGCUUAACCAUUGGACCAAAGUACGUUGGUAGUUCGAGGUCAAACUUGUUGACCUUAGAGAGUUUAGUUGGAACUAAAUAUGGAAUAAACUUCAUCUUUUCCGUAAAAAUAGCAGCGUAUUCAGUAACACUCAUUCUUCCCUUCUUCAAAUUCUGAAACUCAUUAUUGAUUUCCAGAAGGUCCUGCUCAGAGCAGUAUUGCAAUUUCAGUUGCACCACAAAGUCUUCCCUAGACAUCUUGCUAGCUUCUCACUUGGGAAUCAUCAGGUAACAGCUUCCACCAACUCAAUACUCCAUAUUUUAACAAAAGGACUGCAAGAGCGGUCUUCUGUCUGUUGUUGCAUUCGCAACUCUCGAACAUUGUCUCCAUUCCGGAGACCCAAUUUAUAACUUCCACCGGCGUCGGGCUUCCGAAUAGACACGAUGGUUUGGAUGCCAUGAAAUCUUUGUACUUGCAUCCACGUUCGUCGUUUCCUCCAUCCUAGUUGUUAUGUCUAACUAAGGGUGGGUUGGAUUGACCAACAAUCCCACUGAAGUUAUCUCCUUUCGUCUACCCUUCGUUCAACUUGGGCUGUUCAAUCGGUGUUGAAGGUUCUUCACGAUUAUGCCGAAGCAGACGUCUAGUUUCUUCCAUUUGACGAUCCAACAUCAUUUGGAUCAUCGCUUGUACCCCAUCCAUUAUCAUUGGCUCAGGUGCUGCUGCUACAACAGGUGCUUGCUCUAUUACAGGUGGUUGAUUCCUGUUUUUGUUUGCGUUUCCAACUCCACUUCUAGUUCUUUCCAUUUUUGAUCUAUACACCGAAUAAGGUGAAUUUAGAUCCUCAUUCACGAUAGAUAUUUAAAUCAUCCAUAUCACUCUGAAACGUUUACAUGCUAGUUCUAAUACUAUCGUCAUAUGUGACAUCCCCAUUUUUCACGGCCAAAAAAGACCGAUUUUGUUUAUGCUUUAUAAAAAUCAGAGUGCUUCUUUUAAUAAAAAUGUGGCGGAAUUUGUUCCCAGUAAAACAUGAUAAAUACGUUAUCAAAGCAUUUUUGAAGAAAUGUAUUUUUAUUCGUUUUAAAACGUUUGGGAUGUCAUCGUUAAUACAGAAACAUAAGCAUAAACAGAACUUACAUUCAUUAUCACUAGUGAUUUAUAUCUCCUUAAUCUCUCAGUGUAAUGUGACUUUGUAUCAACACUUGUGAUAUAAAUAAACUGAGUGGGUCAGGUUGGGAAACUUGGUGAGUACAUAGGGUUUUCAACCCACAAUAAUAUAAUUAUUAUGUUUAAACAUUUAAACAAUCAACCCAAUUACCCAUCCCCAUUAUCUUCUUUAUUCUACUCUAAGAAUUCAACUAUUCCUCGUUUAUUUAUUCCUAAGGGUUAUCCUAAGGAAUAGGCACGAAAUCCAUCGUUGCCAAGGUUUACUCAAUAGGCACUAAAUCCAUAGUUCCCAAGGUUUAUCUCGUUUAUUGACAGUAUCGUUUCCGAGACUCCUAUCGCAAUACAGGUCAAUGGGUUUUAUCUCGUUUAUCGACUGUAUCGUUUCCGAGAAUCCACUCGCAAUACAUGUCGAUGGGUUUUUAGAGUACACCUGGUGAAUACACAGUUCAAAAAACCUACCGGUUGCGAGCCUGCUAGUGUCCACUGGACUGUCUAGAAUAGUCUGUGGUUGUCAUCCAUACUCUGCUGGAUGACGGGGCCAUCACUUGGGUAAAAGGCUUCUCUCAUAGUUCACCUCUCACCCUUACCUCAUGGUCUAUAUUACCUCUUCAUCAUUUUAUUUUUGUCACACCGAAACUAUUUCAUCUACCCAUGUUUUAUCCCAACACAUUUGUAGAUAUAAGAUAAUUAUACAGUUUAAAUCAUUUAAAACAUGUAUAAAAUCAUUCAUCCAACAUAGACAACAAGUAUUCAGAUAAUAUGCACACAUAGCACGUAAUUUAUGUAAAAUACUUCAUAUCUAUGUGUAAGAUGAAAGGGACCAUGCACUCACCUGAAAAGUGGUGACUCAGCACUCGGACAGCGCUUCGAUACCCUCAAAACAAUUUUCCUUCGAUAAAACCUAGUACCAAUACUACUAGGGUUUAGUCUAAUGAUAACCGCGACAAAUUAAUAGUCUGACUAUUAUUAUUAUUAUAUAAGCGUUAAAUAACACUCAAUAUAACUCAUAAUAAUAGCCUAAAUAAUUAUUUGAAGGAGCUAAUAACAUUACUAUAAUUAUUUGAAAGCUAUAUUAAAAGUUGCGUAAGCGUAGCUCACUUACAACGGAUUUUAAAGAAAAUUGGGCUUUAUUUGGAUCAGCAUUUCGAAACCGAAAGACUCUUUUUUUCUCGGGACUCUGGGAGCCUCGGGGCUUCCUUAGGGUGCUAGGGGAUCACCUAGGCUUAGGGGAGGGUUAAAACCCUUAGAGAGAGAAAGUUUAGAGAGAGAGAGAUAUGAGAAAGGUGUGAGAAAUUCGGAGGAUUUCGGACCCUUUUUAUAGGCGCCAACAGCCUCGGUUAUGCUGGGCGUACCGAGGUUACGCUGGGCGUACACCUCGGAUAAGGUUGCCAGCCGAAGCCAACUGUCUCGCACCGUCGGAUGGAUCAGAUUGGAGCUACGCGGGGCGUAACUUCUUCGGACGCGGAGCGUACUGCGAGGGCGACGUGUCAUGAUCCGAAGCGAAGCCUUGGUCAACAAGAAACGGCCCAGAUGCAGCCACGUCAUCAAUCUCGCAACAUGUCUCACAAAUUUACUUUCCGACUUCUAAAAAUCAUAAAUUUCGCAUACGAGCUCCGUUUUUGACGUUCUUUAUAUCCACGCGAAGGUGGAAACGUACUCUACAACUUUCGUUUAGACUCCGUCAGCUAAUUUUGACUUUAUUUUAAAAUUUAUAUUAUUAACAGGCCGGGACAGGAUUGGUCCGUUAAAUACUCAUAACUUCUUCAUCUGGCGUCCGUUUUCGCCCAUCUUUUUCUCGUUACGCUACUAUUAACAAGAUCUUUGAUUCUCAUUUAGGUCGUGUCGGCUAAAAACCGCUCGAUCUAUUAUUCGAAUUUCGGGUUGUACACUACUAAUCCGAAACUUCGAAAAAUCAUAACUUCCUCAUACGAAGUCAGAUCUGGGCGUUCUUUUUAUGGACGCUCUCAGUUUAACGUAUUCUAUGGCUUUCGUUUAGAUUGCUAAGGAUAAAUCUCUCUCUAUCGUAAAUUCACUAUUUACGCUUCCUGGUGCCGUGCGGGUUCCGUCGCGAAACUUCGACGGGUCAUAACUUCUUCGUUAUAACUUGGAUUUCGGCGUUCUUUAUAUGUACGGAAACCUUGUAACAUAUAAUACAACUUGGUUGAGAUUAUUUAUUCUUAAUAAUAUUUUGUCGAAAAGUUGUUUUCGACCCCUAUUGCCUCUAAAUUGACUAGCCCGGAUCUACGGACGUUACAUCAUACGCUUAGAAUCGUAAACACAUUAGGUCUCCAGAUCCGGUUGGCAACAAACCAUAGAUCUGAAAAAAUAAUAUCAUAUAUGGCAAACAUAUAACAUUUAGCACAUAAAAGCAUUUUAAGCAUCUUUCCUAAAAUAAACUAGUGCUUGUGUUUAAAAUAUAACAGACACUUAUCUCACAAUCUUCACUUAGCAUUCUAAGUUUAAGUCUAAAAAUCCUACAAAUUCCUAGUUCGCUUAAACUAAUGCUCUGAUAUCAACUGUAACAUCCCCAAAUUCACGGCCAAAAAAGACCGAUUUAAUUUAUGCUUUUAAAUUAAAAUCAGCGUAAUCAUUUGAUUAAAAGAGUUGCGGAAUUUGUUCCCAAAACAAAAUAUGGUAAAAAUUUAUCAAAGCAUUUCUUAAAGAAAUGUACUUUCUUUAUAUAACAAAAUCAAGGGAUGUCAUAUUCCGAUACAGACCAAAUGCAUAAACGGCACAUUAUAAGCCUUACAACAAUUAUUUACAAUUAUUGGCCUAUAAUCCAAAAUAUCUUGAUAAGUCAUCCAACUUACGCUUUGGUGCCACUACCUGUAAUACAAAGAAAAACUGAGUGGGUUAGGCUUGGGAGCCUGGUGAGCAUAUAGGGUUUUCAACCCACAAUAAAUAAUUAUAUUAAUUUCAUCAACCAACAAUCACCCGAUUACCUAUUUCCGUUAUCCUCACUUUACGUCCCUAAAACAACUAUCAGCAGGGACCGAGUCUAAGGAUUUUCAUCGGCAUGGACGCUGCUGCAGAGGGGGUUCCUCAACAAUAAAUGUCCUAAUGGCAACCAUGUUGGGGAUAGAGUACACCGGUGAACACAUCGCUCACAAACACCUACAGGUUACGAACUUGCCAGUGAUCUACUAGACUGUCUAUAAAGAGUCUGUGGUUGUCAUCUAUACUCCGCUAGAUGACUAGAUCAACAACAACAUCGAGGCAUCUCAUCAUUUUAUUUCAUCACACNUAUAUAUAUAUAUAUAUAUAUAUAUAUAUAUAUAUAUAUAUAUAUAUAUAUAUAUAUAGACACACACACACAUUCAUAUACAACUUAAAAUCAGUAUAAAAUAUUCAUUCGAUACUCAUUCCAAAUAACAAAUAUAUAUAAACACCUAUCACGUAUUUUAUGGAGAAUAAUUCAUAUCUAUGUGUUAGAAGAAAAUGACUACACACUCACUUUAUAAGACGAUGCUCGGACAACACUUCGGCUCUUAAAGUAAUAUUCUUCGAUGAAACCGGGAUAUCUUUAAAAACCGGGCUUCACAUGGGCAGAGUUUUGGCUCGAAACUCUUUUCUUCUCUGGAUCUUCGAGCGUUGGGACUUGCUUCGGGUGUCGGGUUGAUAUCGGGACUUCGGGGGUGUUUCUUGCAGAGUAGAAGAGAGAAAAAUGGGUGAAAGAUGAGUAAAGUAGCAACCAAAACCGACUGCCCCUUGGUUCUUAUUUAUAGGGUGAAAAUCUGAGAUUCACAUCGUGAACCACAAAUGUUCACGUCGUGAACUCGGUCGUCAUCAGGUGCGUAAUUGCGACUUUAGUCAGUCAGGCUCUGGGAGACGUCAAUCAUCUGUUCAUUUCGUGAAGCUCCUGUUCACGUCAUGAAUCCUGACAAGGGUUAAAGUUCGUGCCCCGAAAUUUAGAAAUUCAUAUCUUUCGUAUACGAGCUCUGUUUUCGACAUUCUUUAUAUCCACGUGUAGGUGAGAUUAUGCUCUACAACUCUCGUUUAGACUCCUUCGGCUAAUUUUGAUUUUGUUUUUAUUAUAUUAUUUUUAGUAGGUCGGGACAUGAAAAGUUCGUUAAUAUUACAUAACUUCUUAAUCCGACGUCCGAUUUCGUCUGUCUUUUUACCGUUGCACUACUAUCGACGAGAUCUUCGAAUUCUCGUUUAGAUUUUCUCGGCUAGAAAUCACUUGAUCUAAUAUUCGAACUUUGGGUUGCAUACUGCUAAGUCGAAACUUCAAAAAAUCAUAACUUCCUCAUACGAAGUUAGAUUUAGACGUUCUUUUGACGCAUGCUCUCGAUUUAACAUAUUCUACGACUUUCGUUCAGAUCGCUAAGGCUAAAAAUCUCUCUAUCGUAAAUUCACUAUUUACGUCAUCCAGUAUCGUAUCGGUUCUAUCGCGAAACUUCUACAGGUCAUAACUUCUUCGUUAUAACUCGGAUUUCGGCAUUCUUUAUAUAUCUGGAAUCCUUAUCACGACCACUUCAACUUCCUUCAUGGAUAUUAGGUUUAUCUAAUAUUUUAUUUUAACGCUUAUUUUUAUCCUUAAUUCAUUUAAGUCACAUAAUUAAGCAUAAAACACAUAAUACUCAAAUAAUACAUUUUUAUUAUUUCAAAACGAGUUACAAAGGUUAACCUAGACUAUUACAUCAUCAUUAAUGCCUAGCCUAGAAACACGAGCGUUACAUUUGCCUUGCCACGAUCCUUAGAAGUACCUGAAACAAAAC